ensembl:snoRNA SNORA74 Small nucleolar RNA SNORA74
CCCAGCUGUAGGCAAUUGCCUAGGUUGCUUUGUACCUAGGCAAGUGUUAAGCUGCUGGGAGAAAAGCAGCCAAGAGCUGGCAGGCAUUCUGGGCCUGGUGAAUGCCAAAUUU